UACGUAGGGUGCAAGCGUUGUCCGGAAUUAUUGGGCGUAAAGAGCUCGUAGGCGGUUUGUCGCGUCUGCUGUGAAAACUCGGGGCUUAACUCCGGGCCUGCAGUGGGUACGGGCAGACUAGAGUGCGGUAGGGGAGACUGGAAUUCCUGGUGUAGCGGUGAGAUGCACAGAUAUCAGGAGGAACACCGGUGGCGAAGGCGGGUCUCUGGGCCGUAACUGACGCUGAGGAGCGAAAGCGUGGGGAGCGAACAGG
rnacentral:rRNA from 1 species